GGGCCCCCCUUCCUGACCAGGCAACAGAACCGGACUCGAAAUCUGGGGCCCCACCCGGCUCUGCUACUCCCUUUGCGUGUCUCUUCAGUCUGCGCCUCAUCCCCCUCAUCCCAAAUGGGAUUAUAUAGGACCCCCAUGUUGGGUUUCAGGGAGAAACCAAUGCAGUGCUGCACAUCCAAUCACUAUUGAGUGCUUCUCCUUCGUCCGUAACGUUCAGCACGGAGAACAGUGCCUGGCACAUAGUAGGUGCUUAAUAAAACGUGCUGAAUGAAUCGUCGCCAGUGUGCAUGAGUCCAUAGCCUUUGGCCCAUCUACCGCUGUGAGGGCAGCUGAGUGGGGACUGGCCAUCCCCUCUAUGCCACUGCAGUCUCACCCUGAACCAGGAGAACCUGGGCUCUGCCACCUGCCAGCCAGCGUGCACCCUAAACAAGCCUAUGCCCCUCAAAGAACCUCAGGCCUCUUCAAUCCUGGGGAGUGACCACAGCUGGCCCUAACCACCUUCCAGAGCCCAACUGCAUCAAAGAAAGAGCACUACAAGGCCCCGGGAAGGCCUGAUCAACCCUGGAAGGAGCUGGCCGCAGACAGGCCUCCUCCCAGGACUGGAGGGGGAGGAGCUUAUCCUGAGGCCUGGCCCAGCAGAUCCCAGGAGAGGGGCCAGGGCAGGCGGCACUUCCUGGAAGAGUGGGGGAUUCACCGUCCCUGGGAACCUUUGGCUCAGUAGGCAGCCCCUCCCCCUCCCAAGACGGGGCACUCAGCCAGCACCCCCGGACCUUUUGGGAGGGCAGACCCCCUCCCGGGGUGGGAACACAAGGGGUCCGAGGUGACCCAGCCAGGGCUGACCUCUGCC
rnacentral:lncRNA from 10 species